GGGUGUAGCGCAGUUGGUAGCGCGCCUGCUUUGGGAGCAGGAUGCCGGGGGUUCGAAUCCCUUCACU
rnacentral:tRNA from 1 species